GGGGUCGUAGCUCAGUGGUAGAGUACUCACCUAGUACGUGAGAGGCACUAGGUUCGACCCUCAGCCCCA
rnacentral:tRNA from 1 species